AUUCAAAAUUUUGGAGCGACGAAGUUCUGUAAGAUAAUUUUACACAGUCCACUCUUCUUCAGUUCUUCUUCUCAGUUCUGGGCUCUCCCUUCCCCAUUUUCGCUGCCAUAUUUCUUUGCCGAUCUUCUGUGGGCUGAGAUUUGGAGGUUGAGUUUGGUUCGAUAUGAACCUGAGCAGUGCUGGGUUUGAAAAUCCUAUUGGCUGUUACGAUGCUGCGGUUCAAGAGCUUCUUGUUAUUGAUGAUAUCCUGUCAGCCAUGGUUGGGAUUGAAGGACGUUACAUCUUGAUUAAAACAGUUCAUGGAAAGCAGGAUGAUG